rnacentral:rRNA from 1 species
GACGAACGCUGGCGGCGUGCUUAACACAUGCAAGUCGCGCGGAGCGGCGAACGGGUGAGUAACGCGUGAGUAACUGCCCCCCUCUCUGGGAUAACAGUUGGAAACGGCUGCUCAUACCGGAUAGUGUGGGCUGACUCGCGUCCUAUCAGCUUGGUGGUGGGGUCGUGGCAUACCAAGGCGACGACGGGUAGCCGGCCUGAGAGGGCGACCGGCCACAUUGGGCGGAGAGACGGACCAAACUCCUACGGGAGGCAGCAGUGGGGAAUAUUGCACAAUGGGGGAAACCCUGAUGCAGCAACGCCGCGUGCGGGAUGACGGCCUUCGGGUUGUAAACCGCUUUCAGCCAUGACGCGGUAGUGGCAGAAGAAGCACCGGCUAACUACGUGCCAGCAGCCGCGGUAAUUC